rnacentral:rRNA from 1 species
ACUCCUACGGGAGGCAGCAGUGGGGAAUAUUGCACAAUGGGCGCAAGCCUGAUGCAGCCAUGCCGCGUGUAUGAAGAAGGCCUUCGGGUUGUAAAGUACUUUCAGCGGGGAGGAAGGCAAUACGGUUAAUAACCGUGUUGAUUGACGUUACCCGCAGAAGAAGCACCGGCUAACUCCGUGCCAGCAGCCGCGGUAAUACGGAGGGUGCAAGCGUUAAUCGGAAUUACUGGGCGUAAAGCGCACGCAGGCGGUCUGUCAAGUCGGAUGUGAAAUCCCCGGGCUCAACCUGGGAACUGCAUUCGAAACUGGCAGGCUUGAGUCUUGUAGAGGGGGGUAGAAUUCCAGGUGUAGCGGUGAAAUGCGUAGAGAUCUGGAGGAAUACCGGUGGCGAAGGCGGCCCCCUGGACAAAGACUGACGCUCAGGUGCGAAAGCGUGGGGAGCAAACAGGAUUAGAUACCCCAGUAGUCCCAUGA